CGAGUUAUUUGACUAUGGGGGGUUGUGCUGGCUUUUUUGGCAAGUGCACACCCCCUGUUGUCUUUCAUCUCAACAUUCACCCCUUUGUGCACUCAAUGUAGACCGGAUUCGAAAGGAGACGCGUCUAUGUAUUUUAAUAUACUUUGUUUACAAGUCACGAAUGUCUUUGAAUGAAAUUAAUACAACUUUCAACAACGGAUCUCUUGGCUCUCCCAUCGAUGAAGAACGCAGCGAAAUGCGAUAAGUAAUGUGAAUUGCAGAAUUCAGUGAAUCAUCGAAUCUUUGAACGCACCUUGCACCCUUUGGUAUUCCGAAGGGUAUGCCUGUUUGAGUGUCAUUGUAUUAUCAACCUUGAACAAGUUUGUAUGCUUGUUUGAUGGCUUGGACUUGGAAGCCUUGCCGGACUCUUUGAAAGAGGUCGGCUCUUCUCAAAUACAUUAGCGAGAUAGUGCUCUUAUGUGGAGCCAGCUCUGGUGUGAUAAAACAUCUACUCCGUAGCUUGGCGAAGCGUCGCAACCAUUCAUUUCCUUUUUCGGCGCAUUAUUGCCAAUUAGGAAACUUGAUGUGGGAGGUGUGCUGCCUAACAGCAGCUCUUCCUGUGCAAACAAGAGUCAGUUUGCUUCUAAUGGUCUUCUUUGAAGAGACAAUGAAAGGGAAAUGAUCCCUUUUGACAACUUGACCUCAAAUCAGGUAGGACUACCCGCUGAACU
rnacentral:rRNA from 1 species